rnacentral:rRNA from 1 species
CCUACGGGAGGCAGCAGUGGGGAAUAUUGGACAAUGGGGGGAACCCUGAUCCAGCCAUGCCGCGUGUGUGAAGAAGGCCCUCGGGUUGUAAAGCACUUUCAGUGAGGAAGAACGCCUGGUGGUUAAUACCCAUCAGGAAAGACAUCACUCACAGAAGAAGCACCGGCUAACUCCGUGCCAGCAGCCGCGGUAAUACGGAGGGUGCGAGCGUUAAUCGGAAUUACUGGGCGUAAAGCGCGCGUAGGUGGCUUGAUAAGCCGGUUGUGAAAGCCCCGGUCUCAACCUGGGAACGGCAUCCGGAACUGUCAAGCUAGAGUGCAGGAGAGGAAGGUAGAAUUCCCGGUGUAGCGGUGAAAUGCGUAGAGAUCGGGAGGAAUACCAGUGGCGAAGGCGGCCUUCUGGACUGACACUGACACUGAGGUGCGAAAGCGUGGGUAGCAAACAGGAUUAGAUACCCUGGUAGUC